rnacentral:lncRNA from 1 species
GAGGAAAUAGGUGAUGGUGAAUCUCCACCGGGGAAAGCCAAGCCCAGAAGAACCAUAAGGGUCAACACCACCAUGGAGAUUAUGGCAAAGAAGCUUCUGGCGAUUCCAAAUUUGGAUACUGACCUAAAGGAUCAGGCUUUGAAUAUCAGCAGCUAUACCAGGAUUGAUGGUAAGGUCAAAAUACUAAACAUUUUUCCGAGGAAAGUUGUGGUUGAGAUGAAUUGCACAAUCACAUACAACAUCACCACUGGGUCGAUUAAAAAUGGUGACAAUUGUCUUGGAAACGUUGAUAUUUAGGUUGGUUUUGAUGUUAAUUCUUUGUGAAAUUUGUUAGGAUGAUGAUAGAAGUGGAAAAUAGCUAGUGUUUGUAGGUUGCUCAAUUUUCUGCAGUUUAAUUGUAUCUGAUUAUGGAUAUAUGAUUUGAGUUAAUCCUAUNUAAACCCUAGACCACUUACACGCACUGAUUCUUGAGUAAUUUUUUGGAAAAAAAAACUUGUCACCUUUAAAAAUAUACUAAUUUUUUAGACGAAAUAGAAAAAAAGAUUAAUAUAUAUAUAUAUAUAUAUAUAUAUAUAUAUAUAUAUAUAUAUAAAUAUAAGAUAACUGUGAUUUCAAGUUUAUAUUUUGAUGGAAAUAUCACAUUUGUUCCUUUUUUAUCUAUUUGUAAGAUUUUUUUGGUACAUUCUAUUGUAAGUUUAGAACAUGUAUGUGAUAACUAGUGUAAAAUUAAUGGUUACCCUCCUAGGUAUAAAGGGAAAACAAUUGACAAUUAUCAUAAAAAAUAAGUUAAAGAAUGCAUAUAAAAAGUAAAUAUUUUAAAUAUGUUUUAAUUUUAUUUAUUGCAUUUAUUUUAAAUGUAAUUUUCUUUUAUAAUUUUAAAUUAAAAAUGACUUUUUCGUUUUAAUGGUAUUUCAAUUUUGUUUAUUUUAAAUUCUUUAUAACUGACGAACAUAUUUUAUUAAUAAGCACAACACUAAAUUGGGCGAGUAGCAUAAAUUUUCUUAAAUCAAUAAAUGCAUAUAUUUUUAUAAUUUAAUACGGAAAUGAUAUUAAAGCUUAUAUUGGCUUAACGAAUGAGAGUGAAAUUAUCUUAAAAAUUUAACGAUUGUACAUAAAAAGUUAAAGUGCAGAAAAAAAAAAAAAUCUGUUAGAAAUAAAAAUAUAUCAGAAACAUAAUAAAUUUAUGUUCGCUGAUAGUUCGGUACAUGAUUUCCAGUUUUACUUAUUGAUGCUUAUAUGAUUUCCAGUUUUACUUUCUGAUUCUUACAGACAAUUGCUGGGGCCAUUGUGAUUGGUAUUAUACUUCAUGCCGGAGAUCACCUUGCUUGUGAUUUUCCAAGACUUGUAAGUACGUCUGAAGACAAUUAUGAGAAGUAUUUGAAAGGUGUAUUUGGUGAUAAUAAACCCAGUUACGGAGACCUGGCUAAAGGCGUCGAGGGUGUGACUGGAAUUUUGAUGGUGAUUCUUAUGAUAAUAGCAUUUACACUUGCAACCAAAUGGUUCCGGAGAAAUCUCAUUAAGCUGCCUAAACCAUUUAGUAGGCUCACUGGCUUCAAUGCCUUCUGGUAUUCACAUCAUCUGUUUGUCAUCGUAUACGUCCUUCUUAUAAUCCACGGAACAAAACUUUACCUCGUGCAUAAAUGGUACCUUAAAACGGUAUACAUAUUUCAAUUAUUUAGGAUAUCUUUCAAAUGCUUUGUUUACCUGUAAUUAGUGACUUACGUUCUGGUUUCCGUUUGCAGACAUGGAUGUAUCUUGCGGUUCCAGUUUUACUUUAUACGUCCGAAAGAAUACUCAGACUAUUUCGUUCUGGCCUGUAUACAGUUCGUCUUGGAAAGGUUAGCUGAUUAAGUGGACCAAUAGUUAGGCUCUAAAUUUUCGACUUCAUAACAAACAUGGUUUUAUUACUUGUCUCAACUACUAUUAAGUGCAAUUGGCCUGGGCUAAUUGUGAGCAUCCAGACUCUAGAGUCAUAAAAAGUAAACUAAAAACUGCCAGGAACUUCCAUAUCUAAAAAACUACUCUAACUCUAUAACUUCAUAUAAAUUAGUGCCAAAUAUAAAUUGAACAGCAUGCUAACUUCGUUUUCUCCCUUUUUCUUUUUCUUUUUUAAAAAAUGGAAAAUAUUCAGGUUGCCAUAUAUCCUGGAAAUGUUCUCACAUUGCAAAUGUCUAAGCCUCCUCAAUUUCGUUACAAGAGCGGACAAUACAUGUUUGUGCAGUGUCCUGCUGUUUCUCCGUUUGAAUGGUGAGUUGCAUUUCAAUUUUAAACAAAAAUAUGUUUCAUGUAGCGGUUUUACGAUUUACAUUAUGCUUCAUAAUUGAGACACUGUGUACUGUUUUGAACAAAGAAAUAUGGAAAACGAUACGAAGUUUGGAAAAUGAACUUUCCUCUGCAUUUUUACUAUUCAUAAAACAGAGAUCGAACCGGUAGUACUUUUGCCCCUGAUGAUCAGACAUAUUGAAUAAGAAAAGAAGGGAAAGUAAACUGAUAUUGCAGUUUAUGAGCUGUUAGAAGUCUCGAUUUUGUUUCAGAGUGAAACUUGUGAAAUUUUUACUCAACAAGUAUCGGUAUCUAACAGUAACAUGGGACAAUAUUUUGUGUCAGGCAUCCGUUCUCUAUUACCUCAGCCCCUGGCGACGACUACCUGAGUGUUCAUAUUCGGCAACUGGGUGAUUGGACACAGGAGCUUAAAAGGGUGUUCUCUGAGGCCUGUGAGCCUCCUGUAUCUGGGAAGAGUGGGCUUCUCAGGGCUGAUGAAACCACGAAGAAAAGGUAUAUGUGGCACUUGCCAUUUUCUGUUGUUGCUUUCUUAUCUUUGGUCCUGGGAAAGUAGGGGAAAAUAAUUUAUACAUGAUUCCAAGCCAAAACUUGUUAACCAUUGAUGCAGUUUGCCGAAGUUAAAGAUCGAUGGACCUUACGGUGCACCGGCACAAGAUUAUAAAAAAUAUGAUGUUUUGUUACUAGUCGGUCUCGGGAUAGGAGCAACACCUUUCAUCAGCAUUCUAAAAGAUCUUCUCAACAACAUCAUCAAAAUGGAGGAAAUGGCGGUGAGUUCCAGCGGUUCAUUGUAUUAGUUAAUGAACAUUAAGACAGUAAAGUAGUUAAUAUUCAUGUUAUUCAUAGCUUAACUCUGGCGUGUUAUGUGUCGCAUACAAAUUGUCAUGCUCAUGAAUAUUAUUUGAACAUCUGUAUGCAAAUUUAGUACCACGAAAUAUAACUAUCUGGGUUACUUUUAUUCAGGAUUCAAUCUCUGAUAUAAGUAGAGGUUCAGACCUUAGUGUUGGGAGUACUACAGACUCACCAUCUCUUAAUAAAAUUGCGCCAAAACGGAAGAAAACACUUAAGACCACCAACGCUUAUUUUUACUGGGUUACAAGAGAGCAAGGUUCUUUUGAUUGGUUCAAAGGAGUCAUGAAUGAAGUAGCAGAGCUUGAUCAAAGGGUAUUUAGUUUCUGCAGAAAAUUUAUUUCUUAUUAUACUUCCUCCCGAAGAACUUUUAGUAUUCCUUGUCCCUGCCACAAAGAUGAAUAAUGUUUUUUUCGCAAUGGCUAAUGUUGAACAUCAAAUUUGGACUUCAGGGUGUCAUUGAGAUGCACAACUACUUGACCAGCGUAUACGAGGAAGGGGAUGCUAGAUCUGCCCUCAUCACCAUGGUACAAGCACUCAACCAUGCCAAAAACGGAGUUGACAUUGUUUCUGGGACCAGAGUAAGCCUUCGCGUUUCAUUGUUUUUAUGUAUUAUUCGCUAUGUUUAGCAUUUAGCCCCUUUUUAAUGCCAUAAUCGGAGUGAGUAAAUUUAAAACCUCGCUUACUUCUUUGAAUUCCUACUACCAGGUGCGAACUCAUUUUGCUAGGCCCAACUGGAAGAAGGUUUUCAAUAAAAUGUGCUCCAAGCACUAUAAUGGAAGAAUAGGUUAGUUAGUCUCAAUCAAGCGUAUUUUGGUAGUCGGUAGACUUUUUUUUAACCCCCUUUUUUCAAUGUCAUCAUUUGAACACGUCAAGUAAGUCUUAGAUAUUACAAAAUUUUAUUUAUAUGUCUCACUUUUUUAUCUUUUUUUUUUAUACACUUAUCUCAAAAUUAUUCUUUCAUUCUUCCUUUUAUUUUCUCCCUUUACUGACAUUAUGGCUAUCAUGAUUCGGAUCAGGGGUAUUUUAUUGUGGUGCACCAGUUUUGGCCAAAGAACUGAGCAAGCUCUGCUUCGAGUUCAAUGAAAAGGGUCCAACAAAAUUUGAGUUCCACAAGGAGCACUUUUAAAGAAUUUGGGCUGAGCACUCCCAAAUGUACUAAAAGUUAACAGGGUCAUCUCAACUUAAACCCGUCAUUUUAGUAACUUGGCGUGGUCAUAUUAUAUGAUUAAUAUUCAACAAGUAAAACCUUUUUGUAUAGAUGUGAAGCAUUGUACAUAGAGCCAGCAAGAUUGCUUGGCAUUUCAGUAUACAUGUGGCCUCAUAACUAAAGAGAUAAGCGCAGUGGUACUGUCCACCACCUAGAGUGCGAUACAACUACAUUGGAGAUGCUGACCUGAUCGUGGGAGCCACAUCAACUGUUGGCAGAUAGAUCCACAGUGAAUUGGAUAUGGACAUUUUUGAAAAAGAUAAUAGAAGGUAAAGGGACUAAAGAAUGUGGCUGGGAUACCUUUUCAAGAGCAACUUUCUCAUUUUUCCUUCCAGGGGAUUCCAGGAAUUCUUGAGAACUCAGAGUGAGGCAAAUGAAUCACCUCUACUUCUGCUUGGGUUCUAACGGGGAGAAGGGGAUUAUACAUAUCUAUGUAAAUGAAACCGGUAUAGUGUUUUCCUUUUUCAAAGUGAUCAAUAGUUUUAACCUUUAUUUAUUUAUUUGAUUAUAUACAUGAAGUAAAACUAUUGGUUUGUGAACACGACUUAAACUAUUGAGCCACGAUGAUAUUUUCUGGUGCUCAUUUAGUCAAUGCAUAUUAAAAUUAUCUGCGCAGAGUUUACGAACCAGAUCAGGAGUAUAUUAAUAUCAAAUUCUUCAGUAAGGUUCCAUUUGGGUCAUGUUUUCGGCAAAGACUUUGAAUAUGAUUUAAACACGUCCUCAAUAAAUGCUACUCGAAUCCUCGUUUGGAUGCAAAGGAUGUGCGUGAAAUAAACUCAAGAUGCUUAAUCUCUUCUGCAUAAUGGAGAAGGGGUUUGUUCAAUGUCAGCUGUAAUGAAAUUGUAAAUACACAACUGUAUGCGCCAUUUGAAAUAUACAAAAUUUUACAUUACAAAUUACUAUUUUUUCUCUUGGUUGUUGAUUUUCUGACCUGCAUGUCAGAAUUUAUGAAAAUAAGAAAAAAAAUAUUAAACACGUUACUAAAGUUCUUUGUGAUAUUAUUAAUCUUAUUAUAUAUUGUGGAGCAAUUUAGAGCAGAUGGCUCGGCGCAUAGAGAGGAUCUAGAGUAUGAAUACAUUUUUAUUUAGAUCAAACAUCCGUAUGAUACACUAAAUGCACAACUGAUAAAAGUACGUCUUGUGUAAAAUGCAAGCCCAAAGGGCUCAAAGGGUUGAGUUCCACCGUUUUUGUGAAAUGGAAGAAGGAUUUAUGAUAUCUCUUUGACCGAUUCACCGUGUAAGGGAAACGAUAUGGAUAAAAUGGUGGGGACUAUCAACAUUAGAAUCAUGUGGGAUAAGUUUGAUGACUUGAAUAUUAAUUAACUUCCCCAUCAAAGAGUUAAAAUUAUUUUCCAAAAGAAAAGCUGGGUCUUCAUGACCAAAUCAAAACAUAUUUAAUUGCCACAUUUCUCAACGGCGAAAAUCGAAAAGGUAGUGGAAUGAAACUGGCCUAAUUUUUUAGUUUGUUACAACGCAUUUGCUGAUCCAAUACUCUGCACUGCUGCAUUUCAUAUUCCUUCAGGCCGGAUGUGUCUUUUCCCUCACUCCUAUUUCUAGAAUCCUUCAAAGUCACUACUCUUGAAUCAUCAUCUCAAUUUUUUAGUCCAUAAAUCAAGUACAUUUAUCAUUCUUUGCCUUUAAUUUAAGUAACUUCCCAUUUAGUCAUCGGUCAAGCCGUGCAAAUACUGGAAACGCGUUCAGGAAAACAUCAACCCAUAAUUCCUUAAUUCUCAAUACCUCAAGGUCAAGACAAAUAACCUUUUUUUCUUCUUUUUACCGUUUCUGAUCAAUACAAGAUUUUCAACCAAAAACUUCAAAUUAAUUGCACAAAAAUACUAAUAUUUAUUCAUGUGGUCACUCUCUUAUCAUAUGUGUGGAGAUCGAAAACCACCAACAUCUCAUCAUAUAUAUAUAUGUAUACCUGAACAACAAGAUUUUAUUAGUAUUCAAGACAAAACAAAAAAUGUUAUAUUUAAUAACUAAAUUUAUCAUGUCAAUUACAUCGCAGGUGCAGGAGACAGAGUUGUCGCUAUCAACGUGGAAUCAACCAUUUGAAGACAUUUCAUAUUGGAAAUUGAUCUAAGUACCCACCACCCAUUUGCUAGUAAGCCAUAAUGUAUAGUUUCAAGAAGACCAUCUCAUACUAAGUUAAAUUCCCAGUACCAUCACAAAUCAGCAUGGCUCAGCAGAGUCCUGAUCAGCAGAUCAAGCCCUUGGCUCCAUUCAUAUCAUCAUCCCACUUCAACUCACAAGAAGAUCAAGACUACGCAUCCACACACAGAAAAAACAUUCGAAUAAGAAAGUUUAUCCAGUGCUGCGGUUGUGCCACUGCAAUUGCUGUGCUACUUGUGGUCAUAGUACUGGUCUUGGGCUUCACCGUUUACAAUGUCAAAGACCCCCAGGUGAGGAUGAACGGGGCUACCCUUAUCAGUGGAACUUUCGCCAACGGUGCUACUGACAACGUUACGAUUCUUGCUGAUAUAUCUGUGAAGAAUCCAAACGCUUUUACCUUCAGAUUUGAAAACGCCUGGACCGAUGUUUACUAUAACGGAGAGGAAAUAGGUGAUGGUGAAUCUCCACCGGGGAAAGCCAAGCCCAGAAGAACCAUAAGGGUCAACACCACCAUGGAGAUUAUGGCAAAGAAGCUUCUGGCGAUUCCAAAUUUGGAUACUGACCUAAAGGAUCAGGCUUUGAAUAUCAGCAGCUAUACCAGGAUUGAUGGUAAGGUCAAAAUACUAAACAUUUUUCCGAGGAAAGUUGUGGUUGAGAUGAAUUGCACAAUCACAUACAACAUCACC